rnacentral:rRNA from 1 species
GGGUCAGUAGGUUGGUCGUGCCACCGGUACGUACUGGUCUCACUGAUUCCUUCUUCCUGAAGAACCGUAAUGCCAUUAAUUUGGUGUUGCGGGGAAACAGGACUGUUACUUUGAAAAAAUUAGAGUGUUUAAAGCAAGCUAACGCUUGAAUACAUUAGCAUGGGAUAAUGAAAUAGGACGAUCGAUCCUAUUUUGUUGGUUUCUAGGAUUGACGUA